CCCCUCACACCAGGAAGCUGUCAUCCGCCUCACCUGCGCCUUCCUCAGGAAGACGGGGCAGCUGACGUGCAUGUGAAGCCCUCACAGGACGACACCAGGGCUCAUGUGAACAGUGAGCGACUAGAUCGCCGCGGCCCAAAACAACAACGAGACGUGGGUUCACUGCUGGUUGUUGUGCGUGAUGAACCAAGACCUUGGGUGGACUACUGCCGCUACCAGAAGCAUGGACAGGUCAAAGGUGAUGCCGCUACCAGGAGUGUGGGCAGUUCAAAGGUGAUGGCUUUAGGGCCAGGAGUUGUGAGUGGAGGAAAACACUAUUGGAUGGAUGCCAAUAUCGCACACGGACAAUAAACAAAGGAGGCUCGCUUUCUGCCGAGAUGCCUGGCCCCCAAAUGUUCCGAUAAAUUUCGUCGAAGGCGACAAAGAUUCACCCAAAGCAGGUACUCAGUAUAUAAUGUAAUGUAAACAAA